rnacentral:rRNA from 1 species
ACUCAAAGGAAUUGACGGGGACCCGCACAAGCGGUGGAGCAUGUGGUUUAAUUCGACGAUAAGCGAAGAACCUCACCAAGGUUUGACAUCUAGCUGCAGACCCCUGGAAACAGGGGAGCCUUCGAGGGUGCUAGACAGAUGCUGCAUGGUUGUCGUCAGCUCGUGUCGUGAGAUGUACCGUUAAGUCGGGUAACGAGCGCAACCCCUACCCUAUGUUUUACGUGUCAUAGGGAACUGUCUGCUUUAAGCAGGAGGAAGGUGGGGAUGACGUCAAAUCAGCAUGGUUCUUACACCUUGGGCGACACACGUGCUACAAUGGGGGACACAAAGGGACGCCAAACCGUAAGGUGGAGCAAAUCCCAAAACUUCCCUCUCAGUUCGGAUUGAGGUCUGCAACUCGACCUCAUGAAGCUGGAAUCGCUAGUAAACGUGAAUCAGCCACGUCACGUUGAAUACGUUCUCGGGUCUUGUACACACCGCCCGU